rnacentral:rRNA from 1 species
UGGAGGUUGUGCCCUUGAGGCGUGGCUUCCGGAGCUAACGCGUUAAGUAGACCGCCUGGGGAGUACGGCCGCAAGGUUAAAACUCAAAUGAAUUGACGGGGGCCCGCACAAGCGGUGGAGCAUGUGGUUUAAUUCGAUGCAACGCGAAGAACCUUACCUGGUCUUGACAUCCACAGAACUUUCCAGAGAUGGAUUGGUGCCUUCGGGAACUGUGAGACAGGUGCUGCAUGGCUGUCGUCAGCUCGUGUUGUGAAAUGUUGGGUUAAGUCCCGCAACGAGCGCAACCCUUAUCCUUUGUUGCCAGCGGUUAGGCCGGGAACUCAAAGGAGACUGCCAGUGAUAAACUGGAGGAAGGUGGGGAUGACGUCAAGUCAUCAUGGCCCUUACGACCAGGGCUACACACGUGCUACAAUGGCGCAUACAAAGAGAAGCGACCUCGCGAGAGCAAGCGGACCUCAUAAAGUGCGUCGUAGUCCGGAUUGGAGUCUGCAACUCGACUCCAUGAAGUCGGAAUCGCUAGUAAUCGUGGAUCAGAAUGCCACGGUGAAUACGUUCCCGGGCCUUGUACACACCGCCCGUCACACCAUGGGAGUGGGUUGCA